GGUUUUCAGAAAUUACCCAUGACUGUAAAACAAGACUUUCUUGUGUAUUUUCUUGCAAUUUAGUUUCAUUUAAUUUUGCAUCAGAGGCACUUCCAAAUUAAAACAUUUUGAAUGGAAUUUAAGCCUAUUUUCUUGGACCGCCAUUUUGUAGAUCAACCAGGCCUAUGAAUGUUUUGAGUCUCAGUCUAUAAUUAAUGUAUGUUAUAUGGUUGGAUUCAAACUCAAAGCAAAGUUAGACAAAACUUUCAUUUAAAAAAAAGACAUAUUAAUUUAUUUUACAAAUAGGCAGUUACAUUUACAGACAGAUUUCUGACUCAGCGAUUGCCUCCAUUUUUGUCACUCACCAGUUAUGAAGUAGAUCAAUCCUAUAUAUAGUCUUCCUUCUUCCUAUUCUGUUAUUUUCGUUAAAAGUUGACAAAGAUCAGUGACUAUGCAAAUUAUAGAUCACAAAUACCGAUCCUUCCACUCUCCAAAUUCCCACUUUCAACGUCUCGCGCGUUUUCAAGUUUGCGCCUUUUCAAAAAUGUACGGUAGAGCUAAGAAAUACGUUAGUUUCGAAUUUCCAAAAUUUCUGUUUUAAAAAAAUAACAAACACUAUCUGAAUAAUUUUUCACUGAAAAUAUAAUUUUUUUAUCAAAAUAAGUUUUAUCAAUGAAGAAUUCGAACUUUUUACGUCAUUAAUUAAAUUGGACAAAUAUUACAAUAGCAUCGGGAUCGAAGUCGGGCUCGAUGAACAAUUAAAUUCAAAAAUAUCGAAUGCCAUGUUCAUGUUGAUGUUCCACAGAAGGAAAGUUGGAACGAAUGCCACGAACGGGGGGAUCAUGGUCAGCUUGGGAUGGAAGAAGAUGAUUACAUUUUUAAGACCGUUGCUGCAUUGCCUGAGAUGAUUUUCACAGCCCUGGCCUUUGAUAAAAGUGCAUAUACAAUGUCAUGUAGAUGCUUAACCAAUCAGUCACUUGAGGCUUGUGAAUAUGGAAUCUGGAUGCUCACAAGAUUUAGAACACGAACUGUAUAAAAAAAAAUGAAAUUGCGCAAGGAAAGUUUGAAGUGUCUGUUGGAAUGAUCAACACCGAAUUUGCUGAGCCUUCGUACUAAAAGUGAAUCCGUUGGUGACGCCAAUUAUCUGUCAACCCUCUAUUGCAAAUUUCAUGGGAUAUCUGUGAGGAUGUGAUUCUAGCAACAUGUUAGAAGUUUUGUAUCUUCCAUAAUUGGGAUUUUUGGCACAUACUUUGGUGGAAAAUAGCAACUGUUCGUUUUAUGGGAUCUUUGUAUCAAUGUAGUUGUUUACUACAUAUAUUUUUGCAUUUAAUACAUGUGUUUGUCACUCUAGUCACUAACUUUGUACAGUAAAUGUACAUGGGCCACUGGCACUUUAUUGUAAAUGUAUAUCCUGUUGAGGUUUCAAUGACCUCUCCCAAUCCUUGGCCAAUGUCAUUUAAUGAAUCUAACCUCUUAUUUAAAAAAAAUGCAUACUUUAGUUUACUACAUACAUGUAUAUCAUAACUUGAUUAUCAUUAAUUUAACCAAGGUGAUCCCCCAGUAAUCUUAUUUUUUCUUGGAUAUUUCUGUUAAUAACCUUUGAUGUAAAAUACUUUGCAGUUUCAUUGAGAAUACAUACAUUUAAAAAAAAGUGCUUAUAUUGUACAUCUGAGUGGUAUAUGCUAUUAUAUUUGUCUCAAAAAACAUUGUAAAAGAAACUGAAUUUUUUAUUUUGCAACUUGUUUAAAGUUUGAUGCUAGAGAAAAUUCGGUCGAACAAAGUUGUGUGAUAAAAACGACAUUAUUUAAAGCACAUUAUGAUGAAUAUAAGUGUUUAAUUUAAAUUAUUAAGAAACAUAAAUAAUCAAUUUGAAAAAAAAAAUGCUGUCAUUGGUGAUGCAGUGUUUGUUUAAUUAAAAUCAAAUAAAAACACGAAAUGUUUAGAGAUUUCAUGAUUUAUUUUUUCAGAUAGUUGGUGAAAGAAUGUUAUUAUAUAUAAAUUAUGCCAGGGGCUUGUUCAACAAUUGCAUCUGCAUGCAAAAGUUGAAUUAUGAGAGUAAUGAGUGUUUUCUGUCAAUCAUUUUUGUCAAUUAUUUUAGUCUUCAUGAAAAUUCAUGAAUAUUCAUAAUACCUUGAACUCUACAUUUUUUCUGUCUUUAAAAUGAAAAUUACCAAUAUUCAUAUAAAUUCAUCAUUUGUUCAUGAACUACAUUUUAUGAAUAUAUUCAUGAAUAAAGUUCAUGAACCAUCUUUAUGAACCAGUCAUGAACCGUUCAUGAACACAUCAUGAAUGUUCAUGAACGAUUCAUAAAAGUUCCUGAAAUUAUGAAUUUCACCUCGCAGG